UUACGGCUAAUUUCUGGAAUUCCGAACGCCUACAACAACUAAACGGUGAAAUCAGUUCACAAGAAUUAUAAUGGCAAGAAAGAGAACAAGAACUGAACCGGCUGAGGACGAGGUUGAAACAAGUAAUAGUGAAUGGAAUAUGAAUGAAGAAGAGAUUGAAGAAAGCACCAAUACCAUGAAUGAAGAUGAAACACAAUCUGUACAAGAAGGUUUAGAUGUUGCAGUACACCCGUUAGAAUAUUGCAGUGCAUCAUUUAGAAUAUUGCAGUAUUCUACCAGCUGCUUCGUGGCAAAUACUGUACAAUACAACAAUGUUGUACAACAACGACAUUCUUGUAAUUGACUCUAUCAUGAGUAUUGCAUCAAAGCACUUCGAGGAGGGGAAAAGAGAGGACCGAUAGAUGUUGAGAAGAUGGUCAUGAACUACAACAAACAGUGACCAAUUAUUGUCUUUUUUUUUCUUCUUCAAACAUAGAGUUUGGUUUCUUUAUUGGUUUUUUGUGUAGAUGAUGUGAUUUGAUAUUUUGAUUUGGUGAUUACUUGUACUUAAAACAAGUCGGUUUUAUUUUGGUGUAGCCAAUGUUGAUGAUGUAAUUUGAAUGUUCUUUGUU